ACUCAACUGGCUUAUUGGGAUGCCAAUGAGAUUCUGACAAAGUUCCUGGAUUCAAACUUCCCUUUCUCCGAGAACAUUGUGCGCUCUGAUGGUGACUGCGAUCACAAGGACACACUGAUUGCUCUCACAUCGUGUCAUUGUGAUAGCACUCAAGAUGGAAAUGCACAGUGCUCCCUGAGGAAGAAAAAUUUGAACCCAGGAACAUUGUUAGAGUCUCAUUCACAUCCCUGCAAGUCACUAGGU